CCAGUAGCGUAUAUUAAAGUUGUUGCAGUUAAAAAGCUCGUAGUUGAAUUUCGGGGUUAGUAGGUUGGUCAUGCCUCUGGUAUGUACUGGUCUCACUGAUUCCUCCUUCCUGAUGAACCGUAAUGCCAUUAAUUUGGUGUUGCGGGGAAUUUGGACUGUUACUUUGAAAAAAUUAGAGUGUUUAAAGCAAGCUAACGCUUGAAUACAUUAGCAUGGAAUAAUGAAAUAGGACGUUCGAUCCUAUUUUGUUGGUUUCUAGGAUUGACGUAAUGAUUAAUAGGGAUAGUUGGGGGCAUUAGUAUUCAAUUGUCAGAGGUGAAAUUCUUGGAUUUAUUGAAGACUAACUACUGCGAAAGCAUUUGCCAAGGAUGUUUUCAUUAAUCAAGAACGAAAGUUAGGGGAUCGAAGACGAUCAGAUACCGUCGUAGUCUUAACCAUAAACUAUGCCGACUAGGGAUCGGAUGAUGUUAAUUUUUUAAUGACUCAUUCGGCGCCUUACG
rnacentral:rRNA from 1 species